CGGCGGACGGGUGAGUAAUGCCUAGGAAUCUGCCUGGUAGUGGGGGAUAACUUCCGGAAACGGGCGCUAAUACCGCAUACGUCCUGAGGGAGAAAGUGGGGGAUCUUCGGACCUCACGCUAUCAGAUGAACCUAGGUCGGAUUAACUAGUUGGUGGGGUAAAGGCCUACCCAGGCGACCAUCCAUAACUGGUCUGAGAGGAUGAUCAAUCACACUGGAACUGAGACACAGUCCAGACUCCUACGGGAGGCAGCAGUGGGGAAUAUUGGACAAUGGGGAAAGCCUGAUCCAUCCAUGCCGCGUGUGUGAAGAAGGUCUUCGGAUUGUAUAGCACUUUAAGUUGGGAGGAAGGGCAGUAAGUUAAUACCUUGCUGUUUUGACGUUACCUACAGAAUAAGCACCGGCUAACUUCGUGCCAGCAGCCGCGGUAAUACGAAGGGUGCAAGCGUUAAUCGGAAUUACUG
rnacentral:rRNA from 1 species